rnacentral:rRNA from 1 species
GAUGAACGCUGGCGGCGUGCCUAAUACAUGCAAGUCGAGCGAACGGACGAGAAGCUUGCUUUUCUGAUGUUAGCGGCGGACGGGUGAGUAACACGUGGAUAACCUACCUAUAAGACUGGGAUAACUUCGGGAAACCGGAGCUAAUACCGGAUAAUAUUUUGAACCGCAUGGUUCAAAAGUGAAAGACGGUCUUGCUGUCACUUAUAGAUGGAUCCGCGCUGCAUUAGCUAGUUGGUAAGGUAACGGCUUACCAAGGCAACGAUGCAUAGCCGACCUGAGAGGGUGAUUGGCCCAACCGGAAACGAAACACGGGCCCGACUCCUAAGGGAGGCAGGCGUAGGGAAUCCUUCGCAAAGGGGGGAAGCCUGACGGAGCAAAGCCGGGUGAGGGAUGAAGGUCUUCGGAUCGGAAAAAUCUGUUAUUAGGGAAGAACAUAUGUGUAAGUAACUGUGCACAUCUUGACGGUACCUAAUCAGAAAGCCACGGCUAACUACGUG